AGUGAACGCUGGCGGUAGGCCUAACACAUGCAAGUCGAACGGCAGCACAGUAAGAGCUUGCUCUUACGGGUGGCGAGUGGCGGACGGGCGAGGAAUACAUCAGAAUCUACUUUUUCGUGGGGGAUAACGUAGGGAAACUUACGCUAAUACCGCAUACGACCUACGGGUGAAAGCAGGGGAUCUUCGGACCUUGCGCGAUUGAAUGAGCCGAUGUCGGAUUAGCUAGUUGGCGGGGUAAAGGCCCACCAAGGCGACGAUCCGUAGCUGGUCUGAGAGGAUGAUCAGCCACACUGGAACUGAGACACGGUCCAGACUCCUACGGGAGGCAGCAGUGGGGAAUAUUGGACAAUGGGCGCAAGCCUGAUCCAGCCAUACCGCGUGGGUGAAGAAGGCCUUCGGGUUGUAAAGCCCUUUUGUUGGGAAAGAAAAGCAGCAGGUUAAUACCCCGCUGUUCUGACGGUACCCAAAGAAUAAGCACCGGCUAACUUCGUG
rnacentral:rRNA from 1 species